UUAAGUUCAGCGGGUAUUCCUACCUGAUCCGAGGUCAACCUUGUUAUAGUGGGGGUUUUACGGCGGGUCGCCGCCCGGGCCCGGUGCGAGGUUGAGUUACUACGCAAGGGAGCCGCGGCGGGACCGCCAAUGGAUUUGGGCGGUUGCAGCGCUGGACGCAAGCAAUCCGCCAACGCUAAGCUGGGCUUAAGGGUUUAAAU
rnacentral:misc_RNA from 1 species